AGGACGAACGCUGGCGGCGCGCUUAACACAUGCAAGUCGAACGUGAAGCUGGAGCUUGCUCCGGUGGAAAGUGGCGAACGGGUGCGUAACACGUGAGCAACCUGCCCCGAAGACUGGGAUAACACCGGGAAACCGGUGCUAAUACCGGAUACCUUCUUCCGAUCGCAUGGUUGGAUGAAGAAAUGGAUUCCGCUUCGGGAUGGGCUCGCGGCCUAUCAGCUUGUUGGUGAGGUAACGGCCCACCAAGGCGACGACGGGUAGCUGGUCUGAGAGGACGACCAGCCACACUGGGACUGAGACACGGCCCAGACUCCUACGGGAGGCAGCAGUGGGGAAUCUUGCUCAAUGGGCGAAAGCCUGAAGCAGCGACGCCGCGUGCGGGAUGAAGGCCCUCGGGUUGUAACCGCUUUCAGCAGGGACGAAAUUGACGGUACCUGCAGAAGAAGGCCCGGCCAACUACGUGCCAGCAGCCGCGGUAA
rnacentral:rRNA from 1 species